UCUAAUUUUUAUACUUUCAGACAAAUGGUGACAACAUGAAUAUAAUGCGAAAGUUCCUGGGGGGGUCAGGAGCAGGAGGACAGACACCCGGAGAAGAGAACCAGGACGGAUACAGACCGGAGCAAGAACUGCUUGGUUUAAACCAUCUGAAGAAACUGUAUAUUGAAUUCUCCAACCCUACACAUCCUUUAACAUCCCCGGAGCGUGAAACCCGUCUUUACGCUAUGCUUCCUCUCUUUUGUAAGAUAUUUAAUUCGGUUCCUCCGAGAGUUAUCCCGGAGAAAUUUCCAGAUACAAACGCGUUCGCACAGGCAGCAUCCAAACUACUAGUCACAGAGGUUCGGCGACGAGCGUCUAACGAAUCUACCGAGGCCGCUGCUAGUGGUAUUGCUACCUUCCUGGAGCUAGAUGGUAACGAGGAGACUAGUCAGGGCUGGAUGCUCAUCUCAACCCUCAACCUUCUAGCAGCAGCGGGAGAAAACUUAGUAGAGGUGAUGACAGCAGCCAGUGUACCCUCGACCCUAGUCAAAUGUUUAUACCUGUUUUUCGACCUCCCGGAGCUAGAUGAAACCUCAAGUAAGAACUCGGAGAGUGAGACGGAGUUCACACUCCGGGAAAAGAGGAUUCUUCUACAGAAAAUGUUUCUCCAGAUCCUGAUGCGGUUGUGUUCUCAUAUCUCCGCAGUAGAAGAACUGGCGAGGAAGGAUGAUCUAACUCUUCUCUUCUCCGCUAUCAGCUCCGUCUGCCCAGCUCAUAAUAUGAUCUGGAGGAAAACCUCAAGUGAUAUUCUUCUAACCGUCUCCAGACAUUCUCUCUCCCAGCCCGUGAUCUCAUAUCUUCAUAACAAGGGUUGUAUAGCUCUAUGUGUGGAGAAUAUGCAGAAGGUUUACUGUGACGGACCUGAUCCAACCCCUGAAGCUACUCCGCUAGAGAUGGUGGAGAUGUUUGUAUCUCUCUUCUGCUUCCUCAAGGAUUCCUCCACUGUGUCCCCAACACUGUUGGAUGAUUUCAGAACGUGUCAAGGAUACAUUUUUCUCUCCGAGUUUCUUCUGAGAAUGGAGAAGGACUCCGACCCUGAGUCAAGCGAGGCUGUGAGGAACCUGGUUUUACUGGUCGCUAGCCUCACGUUCUGCGGACACACGGAGCUACCACCUCCUUCAACCGUAGUCUGCUCCUCCCUUUACCAACUACCAGACUUCGAGACUCCGAUACCAGAAAACAGAGGAUCUACUGUUAGAAACAUACACGCCUUCCAGGUUCUACAAUCAGUUUUCCUGAAAUGUGAGAGCUCCGGGUUGGGUGGAACUAUCCUGGACGCGAUCUCAACCAUUUAUCAUGGAGAUGGCGCUAACUACUUCCUUCUCCAGAACCAGCACACCUUGAGUCAGGCAGCUGAGAAGAUAGCCCUAAAACCAAGUAUAGUUCAGGAGAAAUUUUUCCAACUGAUUGAGUUCCUAGUUCACCAUCUUCAUUAUAUUCCAACUAAAGAAUUAAUAGCUAUAAGCCUGAUCCUGAAGAGUAAGAAGAACCUGGACUGCUGUAUGCUGGCAGUGCAGUCUCUCAUCUCUAUAAUCAAGUUCGACAAUAUUUUCAAGGAUGUUUUCAGAGAAGUUGGAAUGGUUGAGGUUUUGGUUUGUUGUCUUUCUCUCUACACCAACUAUUUAUCAUCAGAGGAUAAUUACACUCAGGCUGUAUAUCAACCGAGUAUGGUUCCUCUUGGAGAAAUGGUUAUCAUUGCCCUCACGGAGUUGUUAACUGGUUGUCCUCAGAACGCUGGAGUUUUCCGUGAACUGGGUGGAUUCAACCUAGCUGCAGCUCUCAUGCACCACCUGGAGACUCGGGAUAGCGGGUUAAGUAUGCUCCAGCAGCUGAUUAUCAGUGCUGGUCCUGGAGGAGAGGAGGAUAUGACAGGACUCCUUGAACUCCUACAUAACACUGGUACCACAGACCUGGAGCUGAGAGCGUCCAUUAUCAAGUGUCUGGUUGGGUGCCUCAAGGAGUCUCAUAGGUGUAGAACAGUGUUUAGGAGAAUAGGAGGGUUCGUAUACAUCAUGUCAAUCCUGAUCAGCCUAGAGGGUAGUUUAGACACCUCGGAGAAUAUCCAGGAUGGACCCUGGAAGGAUAUUGAUAGAAAGAAUGUCUAUGUUCUUUUGAAAGAUAUAUUUACAAGUCUUGCUGUUGCUAUGCGCUACGAACCGGCCAAUGCCAAAUUUUUCCACGAGGAAAUAUCUCAAUCUAGUCUCUCUGAGUCCCUUCUUCUCCUGGGAUGCUUCUCGGAUGAAAGUUCUUUUCAAUCCUUCUCUAGUAGCCCUGAUCCAACAGCUAUCAAUACAUUUCAGUUGAUAUUCUCUUCAUUGCAUCCUGACAAAGAGAACUCUGAUUCUAUUUCUCCGAGACAUGAGUCCUGCUGUGUGAUAUUAAAACUUCUCUAUGAUCUCGCAGUGGAUAAUUACAAGGUGAGAGCAAAAUUAAGUUCUUCGUCCUCUUCAGUCAAAUCCCAUUGUUCAGCAAACCAGGAUUCUCAGGACAGUACUCCAGGAACCCCAAACCAGAAAAAGAAGAUAAGCUCUUUGAACUUGUUCCCGAAACAACCGGAACCUAUCCUUGUUCAUCCAGGCGCUGUCUCAACCAUGUUUAAACUGAUACCAUUCCUUUAUCACUUGGAAGAUAAAAACAUGUCAGAAAAUAUUCAACUCUUUGCCGCAGAGACGGUUAAAUCUCUGCUUAGAUGUGAGAAAAAUCAACAGAUAAUGUGCGAGGCAGGUUUUAUGAGUGAGAUAUUAAAACAAUCUGGCGCUAUAUUGGAGAAUGAAUCUCACACCCUGCAUUCUACCUUUCAAUAUUUGUUGGAGAGAUUAGCAGCUCAGAAGCUUACUCCUCAAGAUUUAAGGAGUUUCCUACGACUUGGAUAUCCUUUGGCCUGUCUUUCCACAGAGGAAGCGGAUAAAAUGUACCUUGAGCUCCCAGCCAAUCAAAAACCAUUUGGAGGAUUUGUUCCUUUGACCAGAAUCAAAACCUUAGUCUCCAUGACCUCUGCAAAGGAUCUUCAUAUACAAAACAAUUCCAUUCUUCCACCAUUUGUUGAGUUUGAUAUGUCCUCUGAAGGUUUUGGAUGUCUUUAUAUCCCCAGCUUGUGUCCUCAGUCUGCGUCCUCCCCUGGACUCGGAGGAGUUAAUUCCCUAGGAUCUCAGGAUCCAACCGUUCUCGGGGGAAUAGGGUUAGGAGAGAGAGCAUUCCCACCUCAACAAGGACUAACCUUCUCAACCUGGAUCUGUAUUGAUAAGUUUAGUGAUCCCCGAGCUGAUCCUCAUCCUGUCAGAUUAUUAACGAUUGUUAGAAAUGUAAAAUCUGUUCCUGAAUCCAACCUAGUCUGUCUCUCUAUAGUUCUCUCCACCAGGGACAAGGCUAUAGUUGUGAGUGUACAGGAAUCUACAGCUGAGCAGUCCAGUGAUUGGCAACCAGAGUUUAACGGAGAAUGGGGAACCAGGGUUUGGUUUCCAGAUAUAAUGAAAGAAGGAGAAUGGCAUCAUCUUGUGUUUGUAUUGAGCCGACAAACCAUGAAGAACUCAAUGCUAACCAUGUCAGUUAACGGUGUUCAAGUUGCUCACACUAAGAUGCAUUAUAUGAAUCAGAACCCUGGUGGAGCUACAGCCAGUGUAAAUGCAUUUUCCGUGUUUGGAUGGAUUGGAACCCCUCCGGCCUGGAGGAGACAGUCUAGACUCUGCUGGAAGCAAGGGCCCUGUCUUCUCCUAGAAGAUGUUAUUAGUCCCAAUCUGGCAAGUAUUCUCUACAGACUAGGACCUCAUUACCUGGGUUCUCUCCAGGCUCCACAGAUCACAUCUUCACAUGAAGUUCUCACAUCACAAAUAUCAGAGGAUAAAGUUAUCCUAGGUCUCAACUCUGUAGCAGUCACGGAGAUGACGCUGUCCAGAAUUAGAAAGGUUUACAGUAAAGUAGACAACAAGAGUAUUGCUAAACAGUUGGGAAUGACAGCUCAUGAGAACGCAACUCCUAUCAGAGUUCUUCACAAUUCCUGCGAACACCUCUCCGGUCCUGCUCGACCACUAGGCGGAGUUGUGAUUGGUUAUCUAGGAGUCCGGGUCUUCACACCACAACCUGUUUCUAAAACAAUCCAAACUGUUGGAGGAUGCAGUGUACUCCUGGGUUUGAUAGCAAUGGCACGGGACGAAGAAAGUUUAUAUGCUGGAGUUAAAGCAUUGGUUUGUGUCCUAAAGAGUAAUCCAUUCUCUAGAACUGAGAUGGAAGAUGGCAAUGGAUAUCAGAGCAUGGCCAUGCUCCUACGUAAAAAAUCUUCAUUCUUGAAUUCUAACAUUUUGCAUUUAAUAUUUACACUGGUUGGAACAAUUGACACACACAAAGAUAAUUCAGGGAUACCAAACCUUUCCGCAUUUCGAGAUCUUCUCUGUGAUCUAGAACUAUGGCACCAGGCUCCCUCAGAGGUGGAGAAAUCUUUAUUCGAACAUUUCUUCGAACUUCUCUCCGACACCGGUCUACAGAGAAACAGUUCGAAUAUUAAGCUCCUACGAGAGUGCCACCUAGUGGAGAAACUUUUAGUUAUUCUAAAGAAAUCUAAAGGAUCCUCCACAACUACUCUGACCUUGCUAAACGUCCUUCAUGCUCUACUCUGCACCUCUCCUAGAGUAACCGAUGUUUUAUGUUUCACCCAAUUUACUGCUGCUACUAUACUUACAAGUCUAGAGGAUGAAAAGAUUAUUGUUCUUAUUCCUGGAUCUGAUGGAACUGAAUGUAAACAUGAAGAGAACUCGGAACUAUCCGUAGAAGAAUCCAAGAUAAUUCUGAGGAACCGAUGUCUUAAACUUUUCUUUUCUCUCCUCUACAUGGGGAAGAAGAUUAACCAGAAAUUUUGUGAGGAGAUCAUGGGGAUUGUAGGGUUCGAUUGGGUUCUUCUUUUUCUCCAAGCCCGUCUCCACACCACCACUGUAGUCUGGGCUCUCCGGAUCCUUAUGACGUUGAUCUCCAUCCCAACCCUCCUGGAGAAGUUCCGAGAAGGUUCCUGUAAUGGAGGAUGGAUUAUGAAAUCUGAACUCAUCCUGCAAAAUAAGAUGGGAGCAGCUCUGGGUCAAACCUCCAACUCCUCGAAGGUUAAACAAAUGAGAAUCCGUCAGGAUAUAUUUAGUAUCCCUGGAUUCCAACUCUUUAACUGGUUGAUGCCUCUGCACAUCUCUAUACCAGAGGUUUAUUAUCUUCUGCUAGCUAUGGUGCUAGGUCAACCUGUUAAAACUCUUCCUAGUUCAGCUACACUAGAUCUAGACUCUGUAUAUAAUUAUAUAUUCGGAGCUAGUUCCGCCGAGGUUCUCAAUAGUGAUCUUUCAUCCCGAGCCACGGUUUGCGGAGAAGCAAUGGUUACAGUUCUCUGCAUGGUGAGAACGAUGUUAAAUGAUGAAACAAAAUCUCCUGAUAAACUUCCAGAAUGGAUGAAGGAAUACCCUGUAACUUUGACCCAGUUUUUAUUCUACCUGUACCAUAAUGUUCACGAGUUUAUGCACGUGUUCAUGGGAAGCAAUGUUCUCACAGCUCUAGCAGGAACUAUCUUCCCUGAGAUCAGUUCAGGGUCGGAUACAACCAGUUCAUCUCCAACAGGUUCUCCAGCUAGGGAGAUAGAUAUAGAGAGACCAGUUGUUCUCCACCUACCUUCACAGGAUGAUUCUUUAACCAACCAUCCCGCGAAGAGGAACGUGAUGAACUUUCUCCGAGUUCUGGUUGUGGAUAGUUUAUCCCUAGCUCCUGCUCCUAAACAACCUCCUGUUAUUGAUUCGCUGCUGGAUGCACAGCCUGAUAACUCAUCUCCCUCCCAGCAGAACAGGUUCCAGACAGAUUUACUGACAAUGAUAAUGGAUCAUCUAGUAGCUGCAGAUAUACUUAUCGGAGAACAAGCAGCUCUCCCAAUAGUUCCAGGUGGUUCCUCGCACCAUAUAGCUGGAAAUGUGUUCUACCUGGCCGCGAGGCUUGUGGAUAAACUAUGGCAAGGAGUAUUCAAGAAAGACGCAAACGAGGUUUUCCAAUUUAUCCUCAACCUCAUAGCUCAGGCGAAGAGAAGGAGUGGAACCUCCGUCCUCUCCCUAGAGGGUAUAUUUAGAUGUUUGAACAGAACUGUUCUCUAUAUGCUCUCUAGACCUGUCAGAUCUGUUCAGGAUCAGAUCUCCGUGAUGGACGUGUUCCACAAACUCAUCACAAACAGAGCUGUGCUCUUCGGUCGGGAUAAUCCCGAGGUAGAAUUCUUCGGUUGUUUGACCUUCUGCCUUCUCCAGCUGACAGACGGACUAGAGGUUCCACUUCACGGAGAUUCUGCUAGAACACAGUGGCACGUAUCCUCAGUAGAUGAUCUAGAUAGUCCGGAGGGAAUUAAUAAACUUCAAGGAAAGAAUCUCUUGAUCACCUCCGCAAACAAGGUUUGGGAAGAACUGUUUUUUAACAAAAAGUCCGCCAUUGAGGAGGUAACAAGGGUUUCAUUUCCGUAUGGAAAUAAAACCCCGAGCCUGGAAAGCGUGAGGGACUUGUUACAUCAGCCUUCGCACAAGGUUUGGAACCAGUAUAUUGAGAUGGAACGGAAAGCUUGCUACCAGAGAAUUCCAGCCUGGGAGAUACAUACUCAUAUACAGAGCAGGAUACAGAAGGUUGCUGGAGGACUGACUGGAGGAUUAAAACGGCUGACCUCUGUCUCCGGACCCAGCAAAGCAAAGAAGGAAGAAGAGAAGAAGAUUGAACUUUCCAACCUUCAGUUCUCCGAGGUAGAAGCAGCAGUUCUAAACCAGAUAACCAUAGUAUCUGAGGUGGUAGAACAGCACGAGACACAGAGAAAGCAGACGGAGCAGCAUAUGCUGACAUACUCGGAGGAGGAAUGGUUGAAUACUGAAGCACAGCUGACAAGGGAGAGAGGAGUAUGGGGACCAAUACAAGAAGGAAAUCUCAUGAAGUGGCAGUUAGAUGUUACAGAGGGACCCUUCAGGAUGAGAAAACGAAUGGUUCGGGAUGAAUAUUUCUACUACAGGUAUCCCUACAGGUCGGAUAAGAACGGAGAAAAACCACAUAAGUAUAAGAGACCGACAAGCCAUGACAGUAAACUCUGGUUUGAAGAGCAUCACAACAGAGCACUGUUUGAACGGGAAGAGCGAGCUAUGGAGCUGGAUUAUGAUGAUUGUGAUAUUGCUGUUAAUGAUAAAUCGGAAGGAUUGACAAUUGAUGAGCAGAUGAGAGAGAUUGGGUUCAAGGGACUGAAAUGUGCUCCGAAGGACCUGGAUCUGGAUGGUAAUGAAGGGGACGGAGAGGAACCUAUUGAGACCGAGGAUACCAAGGACAGUUUAUCAAGGACGGAGGAAGAGGAUAAGACGGAUCCCUACUCCUCUCCAGCUAUGGAAGAAUUCUCCUCAGCCUACCAGACUGUGAUGAGACUACUUGAAAACGGAGAGAGAAUUCACUCUAUGUACAGGUGUGCUCGGAUACAGGGUUUAGAUAUAAUGGAGGGAUUGCUUCUCUUCGGCAAAGAACAUUUUUAUGUGAUAGACGGAUUUACAAUUGUAAACCAGAGGGAGGUUCAUGAUAUUGAUUUCAUUCCUGCUAAUCAGUAUGAUUCUAUAAUACCCUGUGUACCAGGGCAAGUUCCUAAAAUUAAACCAAAGAGACAUGUUUCAAAAUUUGCAUUUGAUGACGUUAAAGAAGUUCACAAGAGAAGAUAUUUGUUACAACCUAUUGCUAUUGAAGUAUUCUCAAAGAACGGGCAGAACUACUUGCUAGCGUUCCAGCGACAGAAUAGAGGGAAAGUGUAUCAGAAGUUCUGUAUUAUUGCCUCAAAUAUUUUGGAAAACGCAGCUCAAUCUGUCUCUGGUCAAGGUAGAACUGCUAACGUGGAACAAGCUACCGGUUUAUUCUCAACCCUCAUUGGAGAAACAUCGGUCACACAGCGCUGGGUUCGAGGAGAAAUAUCAAACUUUCAGUAUUUAAUGAGUUUAAACACCUUGGCGGGAAGAUCUUACAAUGAUCUGAUGCAGUAUCCUGUGUUUCCAUGGAUCCUAGCGGACUAUUCUAGCGAGGACCUGGAUUUAACAAAUCCGAAAACAUUCCGAGAUCUCUCCAAACCCAUGGGAGCUCAGACAAUAUCCCGGUUGGAUCAGUUCAGGAAGAGAUAUAAAGAAUGGGAUGAUGCUGGGACGGAUACUCCGCCCUACCACUAUGGUACACACUACUCCUCCGCUAUGAUAGUCUCAUCUUACAUGGUUAGGUUGGAACCCUUCACCCAGCACUUUCUCCACCUUCAGGGCGGACACUUCGACUUGGCGGACCGGAUGUUUCAUUCUAUAGCAGAGGCGUGGGAAUCUUCCAGUAAAAAUAAUAUGGCGGAUGUCCGAGAACUUAUUCCUGAGUUUUUCUACCUUCCGGAUUUUCUGGCAAACAGAAAUAAUUUCGACUUCGGGAUGAAACAGAGCGGAGAGAGUUUACAUGAUGUUAUUCUUCCAGCUUGGGCUAAAAACGAUCCCAAGGAGUUUAUUCGGGUUCAUAGAGAAGCUCUUGAAUCUGAUUAUGUUUCUGCAAAUCUGCAUAAAUGGAUAGAUCUGAUAUUUGGAUUCAGGCAGCAGGGAGAACCAGCGGCUGAAAGCUCGAACGUCUUUCAUCAUCUGUUCUACGAAGGAAACGUGGAUAUAUUCUGUAUAGAUGAUCCACUCCAGAGAAAUGCAACCAUUGGAUUUAUAAACAACUUUGGACAGAUCCCCAAACAACUUUUUAAAAAAGCGCAUCCAGCCAAGAAAGUUUUAUCUAAAAACACGGGUGUGGAAGUUUCAGGUUCCAGCUUAAACUCAAAAAUAUUUUUCCACAAUUUAUCCAACCUGCGACCCAGUAUGGUUCCCAUCAAGGAGCUAAAGGGGCCCGUUGGAGAAAUCUAUCCUACAGAGAGAAUGGUUUAUGCAGUGGAGCAGAACAAGGUUAUAGUUCCCGGCAACUCCAACCGCUACCUAGCCUGGGGGUUUGCAGAUCAAAGUUUCCGUCUUGGCAACUAUGAUACUGAGAAAGCUGUCUUUAUCUGUGAACCUAACUAUCUAGUUGGAGAGGUUCUAACCUGUGUGUGUCCCAACCCUAAACUAGUUCUCACCGCUGGAACCAGUACUGUAGUCUGUGUCUGGAUUUAUCACAAGAAGCUGAAACAGCUCCAUCUUCAACAUUCCCUGUACGGACACACUGAUGCUGUUACCUCACUAGCUGCUAGUCCUGGUUGGGGUGUAGCUGUAUCUGGUAGUAGAGAUACAACUGUUAUUAUCUGGGAUAUUGCCAGGUUCUCCUAUAUUAAAACAUUGUCCGGUCACGCUGGUCCAGUAGCAGCAGUUAAUAUUAAUGAGCUAAACGGUAAUAUUGUUACUUGUGCUUCAUCUAAAGUAUAUCUCUGGGAUGUGAAUGGAUUACCUGUUGCUAGUGUAGAAACAUCUCCUGGAGUUGAUAAGAAGUUAAAAUGUCAAAUCCUUUGUGUUGCCCAGAGUCAGAUGUAUGAAUGGGAUCGUCAGAAUGUAAUCCUGACUGGAGGUAGUGAUGGUGUAGUCAGGAUGUGGUCUCUUGAUUAUGUUGAGGUUCCCGUGCAAACUUCAGAAAUUCAAGAACCCGGAACCCCCGACUCCGACAGAACGAAUAUAUCAACGGUAACGGAGCUGGCGAAGAAGAUGUCCAUCUCCUUGUCCGGAGAUUGUCUGAGUAGUUUACGGGAUGCAGUAGCACGUCAUCACAAGGUUUCUCUGACCAGCGAGAGAUCUGUUGAGGAUCAAUCCUCAGAUACUGAGGACUGUGACGAGAUCACUGCUGAUAAACAUUCAGAUAUUGAUUGCUCCGACGGACCAUCUCCUGCUCCUGAACUAACGGUGGAUCCUCCAAGUCCAAUCAAAUCUACAAACGGAGUAGACACCGCAGCGUCAAACAAUGCUGAUCCUCCUGAGAUCAAUGUAACAUACCCCUCGGAUGAUAGUUUUGUAGUGGUUGAGGGUCCAGUGGAGGAAGGAGUAGAAGUUCUUGACUCAGGACCUGCCAUGAUGCCUGGAGACGGAUAUAUGUGGUCAAGGCAGCUAGUUUUCCGAGCUAAGCUAACUAUGCACACGGCAUUCGAGCGCAGUGAUAAUAGUGAACCUGCCGCUGUGACGGCUCUAGCUACCUCUAAGGAUCAUAAAACUCUGUAUGUGGGAGAUGAGAGAGGUCGAGUAUUCUCCUGGAUGGUUUCUAACAAACCAGGGAAAGGUUUAGUAGAUCACUGGAUGAAGGAUGAUGGAACAGACUCAUGUCAAGCUUGUGGAAUCAGGUUUACUAUGUAUGAGCGAAGACAUCACUGUAGGAACUGUGGAAAUCUUUUUUGUUCUUCCUGUUCCAGAUAUCAGGCCGAGAUACCUAGAUUGAAGAUACAUCAACCUGUUCGUGUUUGUAAACAUUGCCAUUCCUUGUCCUAAUCUUAUAUAUAUUCUACUCUUGUACCAUCUACUGUACACGCCAUAUCAUUAUUUAAUCUGUAACAUUCAUGCUUAUUGUCAAUCCUAGUCCUUUUAGUUCAAAUCCAUGUAUUGUACCGUGUGUUUUUACUGUACUGUCCAGACUUACUCCAUGCUGACGCUUUAAUAUUUGUUUAUUUGUUUACUAUGCACAUGUCAAAAGCUUGUUUUACCAACUUAAAUUUUCCAAGAUAUUUUGUAAUAUUAGAGUUGGGAAUUAAUGAAUUGGGAGAGAUAGUUUAACCACUGGUUCUAAAUAUGGUCCGUUGUUGUGCUUUCUAAAUGGACGUAGAUGUAAAGAAUACACACUUCGUUUUUAAAUAGAUAUCAAAGAGUUAUAAUGCUAAUUGGGAUAAUCUGUAGUUUAACUAAAUAUCUCUAUUCAUAAAUUCUCAGCUCCGACGCCGAGGUCUUUUUUUAAUCGCAACCCAAAAUAUCCAUCUGCCUGAGCUUAAAACUGGGAAUAUUAAAGUGCAUAAAGUUACAAAACUAUAUCCUCAAUUAAAUUUUAUCAUUUUUACUUAAAUUACAUGAUAUUAUUAAAAUCCUUGAAAAUUAUAUCUUGGGAUUUUUCUUGAAUUUUUGAUAAUUUGUCGUCAAACAUCUCAUGCUUUCAACACAUACCAGACAUACUGUUAAUAUUUAUUCUUAAAUAUAAAUCCUUUUUUAGGAUCAAACCAA
rnacentral:misc_RNA from 1 species